rnacentral:rRNA from 11 species
UCUUCUGCCUAGAUACUCUAAAGGCACCAAAUCCCUUCUGAUCCUGGAAGCAAAACAGGGUCAAGCCUGGCUAGAACUUGGAUGGAAGGCUGCCAACAAAUACUAAGUGGUGUAGGCU